AUUAAGUUAGUUUUAUUAAAAUACCAGCUUGUGGAUCUGGAGAUAAGAGAUAUUCUUACUUAAUC
rnacentral:tRNA from 1 species